AGUGAACGCUGGCGGUAGGCCUAACACAUGCAAGUCGGACGGCAGCACAGUAAGAGCUUGCUCUUACGGGUGGCGAGUGGCGGACGGGUGAGGAAUACAUCGGAAUCUACUUUUUCGUGGGGGAUAACGUAGGGAAACUUACGCUAAUACCGCAUACGACCUACGGGUGAAAGCAGGGGAUCUUCGGACCUUGCGCGAUUGAAUGAGCCGAUGUCGGAUUAGCUAGUUGGCGGGGUAAAGGCCCACCAAGGCGACGAUCCGUAGCUGGUCUGAGAGGAUGAUCAGCCACACUGGAACUGAGACACGGUCCAGACUCCUACGGGAGGCAGCAGUGGGGAAUAUUGGACAAUGGGCGCAAGCCUGAUCCAGCCAUACCGCGUGGGUGAAGAAGGCCUUCGGGUUGUAAAGCCCUUUUGUUGGAAAAGAAAAGCAGCAGGUUAAUACCCCGCUGUUCUGACGGUACCCAAAGAAUAAGCACCGGCUAACUUCGUG
rnacentral:rRNA from 1 species